GAGCGGCGGACGGGUGAGUAACACGUGGGUAACCUGCCCAAGAGACUGGGAUAACACCUGGAAACAGAUGCUAAUACCGGAUAACAACACUAGACGCAUGUCUAGAGUUUGAAAGAUGGUUCUGCUAUCACUCUUGGAUGGACCUGCGGUGCAUUAGCUAGUUGGUAAGGUAACGGCUUACCAAGGCAAUGAUGCAUAGCCGAGUUGAGAGACUGAUCGGCCACAUUGGGACUGAGACACGGCCCAAACUCCUACGGGAGGCAGCAGUAGGGAAUCUUCCACAAUGGACGAAAGUCUGAUGGAGCAACGCCGCGUGAGUGAAGAAGGGUUUCGGCUCGUAAAGCUCUGUUGGUAGUGAAGAAAGAUAGAGGUAGUAACUGGCCUUUAUUUGACGGUAAUUACUUAGAAAGUCACGGCUAACUACGUGCCAGCAGCCGCGGUAAUACGUAGGUGGCAAGCGUUGUCCGGAUUUAUUGGGCGUAAAGCGAGUGCAGGCGGUUCAAUAAGUCUGAUGUGAAAGCCUUCGGCUCAACCGGAGAAUUGCAUCAGAAACUGUUGAACUUGAGUGCAGAAGAGGAGAGUGGAACUCCAUGUGUAGCGGUGGAAUGCGUAGAUAUAUGGAAGAACACCAGUGGCG
rnacentral:rRNA from 1 species